UAAAGGCAUGGUCCUGACCUUAUUAUUAGCUUUAACCCAACUUACACAUGCAAGUCUCCGCAACCCCGUGAGUAUGCCCUUAAUCCCCCACCCGGGGACGAGGAGCGGGCAUCAGGCACAAAUUUUUAGCCCAAGACGCCUGGCCGAGCCACACCCCCAAGGGAAUUCAGCAGUGAUAAAUAUUAAGCCAUAAG
rnacentral:rRNA from 2 species